GGAUAGACUGUUGCAAUUUUCAGUCUUGAACGAGGAAUUCCUAGUAAACGCAAGUCAUCAGCUUGCAUUGAUUACGUCCCUGCCCUUUGUACACACCGCCCGUCGCACCUACCGAUUGAAUGACUCGGUGAAAAAUUGGGACCGUGAGUCUGUUUGCUUUAUUGCGAGUGGAUUGAUGGGAACUUUUUUAAACCUCGCCAUUUAGAGGAAGGUGAAGUCGUAACAAGGUUUCCGUAGGUGAACCUGCGGAAGGAUCAUUA